rnacentral:rRNA from 1 species
UCAGGACGAACGCUGGCGGCGUGCUUAACACAUGCAAGUCGUUCGCUGAAGCUUGGGUGUUUUUCAUCUGGGUGGUUGAGUGGCGAACGGGUGAGUAAUACGUGAGUAACCUGCCCUUGACUCUGGGAUAAGCCUGGGAAGCUGGGUCUAAUACUGGAUACUACGUGCCCUCGCAUGGGGGUGUGUGGUUAGGGUUUUACUGGAAAGGAUGGGCUCACCCGGUAUCAGCUUGUUGGUGCCGUAAUGGCCUACCAAGGCGACGACGGGUAGCCGGCCUUAGAGGGUGACCGGCCACACUGGGACUGAGACACGGCCCAGACUCCUACGGGAGGCAGCAGUGGGGAAUAUUGCACUUUGGGCGAAAGCCUGAUGCAGCGACGCCGCGUGACCGAUGACGGCCUUCCCGUUGUAAACCUCUUUCAGCACGGAAGAAGCGAAAGUGACGGUACGUGCAGAAGAAGCGCCGGCUAACUACGUGCCAGCAGCCGCGGUAAUACGUAGGGCGCAAGCGUUGUCCGGAAUUAUUGGGCGUAAAGAGCUCGUAGGCGGUUUGUCGCGUCUGCUGUGAAAGCCCGGGGCUUAACCCCGUGGUGUGCAGUGGGUACGGGCAGACUAGAGUGCAGUAGGGGAGACUGGAAUUCCUGGUGUAGCGGUGAAAUGCGCAGAUAUCAGGAGGAACACCGAUGGCGAAGGCAGGUCUCUGGGCUGUUACUGACGCUGAGGAGCGAAAGCAUGGGGAGCGAACAGGAUUAGAUACCCUGGUAGUCCAUGCCGUAAACGUUGGGCACUAGGUGUGGGGGACAUUCCACGUUUUCCGCGCCGUAGCUAACGCAUUAAGUGCCCCGCCUGGGGAGUACGGCCGCAAGGCUAAAACUCUUUGGAAUUGACGGGGGCCCGCACAAGCGGCGGAGCAUGCGGAUUAAUUCGAUGCAACGCGAAGAACCUUACCAAGGCUUGACAUACACCAGACCGGCCCAGAGAUGGGUUUUCCUCUUUGAGGUUGGUGUACAGGUGGUGCAUGGUUGUCGUCAGCUCGUGUCGUGAGAUGUUGGGUUAAGUCCCGCAACGAGCGCAACCCUCGUUCUAUGUUGCCAGCAC